UUUUACCCUUUGUUUAUUUGACUUUUUUUUUUGUUAUCACUGUUAUUUAGGUUUAACCUUGUGUUAAUUUUUAAUUUAAAGAUGUUUUCAAUUUUCCAUGAUAGAUUUAGCUUCCUUUUGUCUAAAAUUUUAGGCUAAUUGGUGAUAUAUUAUUACGCUUCUGUUUUGUGUUUUCCGUUUUGCUCUUUUAAUCGUUAAAUCUUAUAUUUCAGUUGUUUCAACUCUCUCAAGAGGUGUUUGCGAAAUUGUCCAAAAGAAACUGCGAUGGUUUAGUAGUCUGUUAAACUGCAAAAGGGGAUUACCAAUUUCUUCUCUGGUUUCGUUUCGAGUGAGAUAUAGACAUAUAGUAUUCUGCUAAACUGAAAAAGGGGAUUGCCAAUUUCUUCUGUGCUUUUGUUUUUUCAAGUUGCACAUACAAUUCUGCUUGUUUUCCCUUUUUCUGUGACAUGGUAAGUGAUUUCGUUGUUUUUUUAGCAUCUAACACAAACAUGAGAUUGGAGGUAAAAUUUUGUUAAUUAAUCUGAAACCAGAUGUGCAACACAUUGAUGCUCCCAGGGUUGCCGAUAACAGUUAACUUUUUUAUCUUUCCAUAGAGAUAACAGUUAAGUCACUAUCAAAACCAUAACCAAAAGAAAGAAAGAUACCAUUCAUUUUCUCUCUACAGGCUAAAUGACCAAUACAACAUAAAACUAUUGGGAUAGCCUAAGGUAACUGCAAUAUCCAUGCCCUUAGAUAUUUAAUAAGCUGCUAUUGAGUAAUCAGUUUGCUUCUUUUUUUCUAUUUUAUAAUUUUGUUAGUAAAUCAAAUAACUUAAUUUACUGAGACCGAAUGCUCAAUUGCUGUCUCCAACUUUUAGAACCCCAUUCUUUUCAAGUUAAUGAUAGUUCUCUUUUUAGUUACUGUCAAAAUAAUGUCUACUUCCAAGCAGGGUGGAUAGUCAUAUUACUUGGUUUAACUACUAUAUCUUGUAUUGUUGGUGCUCAAUACUUGGUUUUGAAAGUUAUUGCAUGACUUUUCCUGUUAUGCUAUUCUUGGAAUGGGAAGAACUCAGUACCAAGUUGGAGACCAAACUGAUACUUAGGAAAUGCUGAAUUAUGAAGUUAGCAUAAUGUGCUUGAAGAUGCCUAGCAUUUGACAAAUUGAGGAGUGCCUAUAAUGUACCUCAACACGUGUAGCAUUUCGUAUACUUAAAAUAUUAUAUACCUAUAGUAUUUAACUUAGGCUGAACUAGAUCACUGUACUGUGUAAUUUUGUCCUCAUAUUGUACAUAAAAAAAGACUGUUAUGCGCAUGUUGUGCACAAAGUCUUUUGUCAUGGUUAUCAGUGUUGUUAUCGAUCAAUAUUUUUGUUUCUUCUUGCCCCUUCCUUCUUUGAUUAACAUCAUUUCAAAAUAUGGUUCACCUGUCACAAAACGGAGGAAAAUGUAAUGAGUAGAGUAGAGUAGAUUAUGACUGAAGUCUGAAGGUAACAUAGAACUUCUCCUAUGCUGUUGUUUUUCGAAUAGCUUAGGCUCACUACUAGACUAGACAAAUGAUGAAUACAAAUAUGGUUCUGCUGUACCUGAAGAUGCAUAUGUUUUCUAUCGUUCAUAUAUUAUAUCUAUUAUAGCUGGUUAAGAUUGAAUUGGAUAGCACAAGAACAGUGCGUAGCCUCUCUUUCACAAAUAUUUUACACUUGAUAAACAAGUCUCUUUCCUAAUAUGUUGGGCCCGUGCAUAGCACGGGCUAACCCCACUUGUGCUGUUAUAACCUAGAAGCAAGGUUGUGCCU